rnacentral:rRNA from 1 species
UAAUAAUUGAUGAGAUUGAUUCUGUCUUGUAUUUGUAAUUAGUUUUUAGUUGAUAUUAAAUAUAAAUUUUUGUGCGAUUGAAAGUUUAUCUAAAUGAUAAUUUAUUUUUAUUUGUAGUUUUUAGUGUUGAGUAUUAUAUAAUUAUAGACUCAGUUAAUUUAAUUAGGGCUGUUUAAGGUUGUGCCAGCAUACGCGGUUAUACAUCCGGCUCAAGUUAAUUUUUUUGGUAUUUAUUUAUUUUUAUUAUUGGGGAUUAAAUUUAUUUUAUAAGGUGAAAUUUUUAAGAUUAAUUAUAUUCUCUUGGUUUAAUAUUAUAAGAAAUUUAGGAUAUGAGACUAGGAUUAGAUACCCUAUUAUUCUAAAUGUAAA